UAUAUUUUAGUGUUUAUGCACUUAGAAUUUUGAUUUCUACAGGUAUAGUUAAAUCUAUAAAAUAUAA
rnacentral:tRNA from 1 species